AAGCAGGGCCCAGAGAUGCUGUUAUGUGGGUGACUUGUUGUCUCCUUGAACUUUAGAGAGACAAAUACGAUAUUUCACUUGUAUGGCAAAAUUGAAGAAGAGAACACAAAACACAAGUGAAGCUCUAUACUGAAGUAUGCUCUGAAGCCCUUGAGGAGAACGAUGCUGCUGUUGCUGCUGCUUGUAUUUGGAGAUGAGGUGGCAGACCUUGUUCCCCAGACUCAUGAAGAGGAAGUACCCAAAUGCGGUAAAGAUGUCCAAAUGCUGGGCAGGCAAAGGAAUGAUCAUCUGCCCAUUGACUAUAUGAGUGACACUGCUUGACUUGGUGGGAAAACAAAGAUGGAUAACAUGCAGAACCUGUCCUCGGAGACCAGAUCGGCUUACAAUUCUUUUCCUUUUGGUGAUUGCAUUCAUUUGGCAUCAUAGUUUGCAAAGCCUUUCACUCUCAUUGUUUCAUCAGAUCCUUCCUGACAGCCA